GACGAACGCUGGCGGCGUGCUUAACACAUGCAAGUCGAACGGAAAGGCCCUGCUUUUGUGGGGUGCUCGAGUGGCGAACGGGUGAGUAACACGUGGGUAACCUGCCCUUGACUUUGGGAUAACUUCAGGAAACUGGGGCUAAUACCGGAUAGGAGCUCCUGCUGCAUGGUGGGGGUUGGAAAGUUUCGGCGGUUGGGGAUGGACUCGCGGCUUAUCAGCUUGUUGGUGGGGUAGUGGCUUACCAAGGCUUUGACGGGUAGCCGGCCUGAGAGGGUGACCGGCCACAUGGGGACUGAGAUACGGCCCAGACUCCUAUGGGAGGCAGCAGUGGAGAAUAUUGCACAAUAGGCGGAAGCCUGAUGCAGCAACGCCGGGUGCGGGAUGACGGCCUUCGGGUUGUAAACCGCUUUCGCCUGUGACGAAGCGUGAGUGACGGUAAUGGGUAAAGAAGCACCGGCUAACUACGUG
rnacentral:rRNA from 1 species